GACGAACGCUGGCGGCGUGCUUAACACAUGCAAGUCGUACGGUAAGGCCCUUUCGGGGGUACACGAGUGGCGAACGGGUGAGUAACACGUGAGUAACCUGCCCACAACUUUGGGAUAACGCUAGGAAACUGGUGCUAAUACUGGAUAUGUGCUCCUGCUGCAUGGUGGGGGUUGGAAAGCUCCGGCGGUUGUGGAUGGACUCGCGGCCUAUCAGCUUGUUGGUGGGGUAGUGGCCUACCAAGGCGGCGACGGGUAGCCGGCCUGAGAGGGUGACCGGCCACAUUGGGACUGAGAUACGGCCCAGACCCCUACGGGAGGCAGGAGGGGGGAAUAUUGCAAAAUGGGCGCAAGCCUGAUGCAGCAACGCCGGGUGCGGGAUGACGGCCUUCGGGUUUUAAACCGCUUUCAGCAGGGAAGAAGCUUUUUGUGACGGUACCUGCAAAAGAAGCACCGGCUAACUACGU
rnacentral:rRNA from 1 species